rnacentral:rRNA from 1 species
CCUACGGGAGGCAGCAGUGAGGAAUAUUGGUCAAUGGGCUUACGCCUGAACCAGCCAAGUCGCGUGAGGGAAGACUGCCCUAUGGGUUGUAAACUUCUUUUGUCAGGGAGCAACGCCGGCUACGUGUAGCUUUACUGAGAGUACCUGCAGACAAAGCAUCGGCUAACUCCGUGCCAGCAGCCACGGUCAUCCGGAGGAGGUGAGCGUUAUCCGGAUUGAUUGGGUUUAAGGGGUGCGUAGGCGGACGGCCAGGUCAGCGGUAAAAUCGCGGGCCUCAACCUCGCUCCGCCGUUGAAACUGGCGGUCUGGAGUGGGCGAGAGGGAGGCGGAAUGCGUGGUGUAGCGGUGAAAUGCAUAGAUAUCACGCAGAACUCCGAUUGCGAAGGCAGCAUACCGGAGCCCAACUGACGCUGAAGCACGAAAGCGUGGGUAUCGAACAGGAUUAGAUACCCUAGUAGUC